rnacentral:rRNA from 1 species
GCCAGCCCGCUCAGAAACUUAAAGGAAUUGACGGGGCCCGCACAAGCGGAGGAACAUGUGGUUUAAUUCGAUGAUACGCGAGGAACCUUACCUGGGCUUAAAUGGGGAGUGACAGCUGUCGAAAGAUGGUUUUCUUCGGACACUCUUCAAGGUGCUGCAUGGUUGUCGUCAGCUCGUGCCGUGAGGUGUCGGGUUAAGUCCCAUAACGAGCGCAACCCUUACCGUUAGUUACCAUCAGGUUAAGCUGGGGACUCUAGCGGGACUGCCACCGUAAGGUGAGAGGAAGGUGGGGAUGACGUCAAAUCAGCACGGCCCUUAUGUCCAGGGCUACACACGUGUUACAAUGGCCGGUACAAAGGGCAGCUACUUCGCGAGAAGAUGCUAAUCUCGAAAGCCGGUCUCAGUUCGGAUCGAAGUCUGCAACCCGACUUCGUGAAGCUGGAUUCGCUAGUAAUCGCGCAUCAGCCAUGGCGCGGUGAAUACGUUCCCGGGCCUU